UCAGAGUCACGUUUUGCAGGGGCAGCUGAAAAUGUGACACUUUCUGCGGUGGCACAUCGGUGGUUUGGACCUAAAUUAGUUCGUAUUGUUGACCUGUGGCGAUAGCGGGUGGCUGAAGCCAUUCUCGUUCCGCAGAAUCACAGAAUCGCUCGGGUUGGAAGGUCCGACUGGAGAUCAGAGCCCCCUGCCAAGGCAGGUGACACGCGGCAGGUGACACAGGAACGCGUCCAGGAAAGCUCCCUUACACACUGAAAGGUCCCAAGGCCCCCCAGGAGCCUUCUCUGCUCCAAGAUGAACAGCCCCAGCUGUAUCAGCCUUUCUUCAUAGAAGAAGUGCUCCUCUGAGCAGCUUCAUGCCUUCGUCUGGACCUGCUCCAGGAGAUCCUUGUCUUAAUUAGGCACCAAAAGCUCAUUGCACACAUUUGUAGUUUUUCCCUGGAGUAAAUGAAACAUUGUGGCAAUGGCAAACAUAGCAAGCAGACUCUCAGCACAAAAUGCAGGAAAGCGAAAUAAAAACACAAAUGUGAAGACAUAAAAGUCAACACGUGUGGUAUUGAAAGUCUGUAUUUGGCCUCUGGAUUACACGAUCUGAGGAAAAGGCUCUGUGAACGUGAUAAAUAAACAGUGGAAUUGUCACAUGGAACGAGUACGGGGGGAAUACAUGGAAGAAGGACAAGGCAGGGCUCUUCUCACAGAGCCGUGGAAAUGGUGGAAUUCUCUUUCCCUGGGUUUGGCUCAGUAGGCGCGGCUCGGGGGGCCGCAUUGUGUGGUUCCAUGGUGUAAUGGUUAGCACUCUGGACUCUGAAUCCAGCGAUCCGAGUUCAAAUCUCGGUGGAACCUGAACGUUUUUGCCACCAACACGUUUCUUUCCUGCUCAGAACCAUGGAAAGUGACUUCAAGGCGUUUUUCAUGGAAUGUUAGAACGCCAUAAACAUCUCAUACCUCCUGGAAUACGUAUCUAAAUGAGAAGGGUAUUCAAUCAGAGAGUUUUCCUGUGUUUUCCCCACCACAUCUAUUAUUUAUUGCAGCCACAUUAGUACUUUCUUACAAAUUAUCUGAAGAACCUCACACAUGUCACUGCAUAUUGUUUCUUUUUCUGUGCUUUGAAUCUCCUGUAUUUCCACACAGUUCUGAAUUGUGCAUCAGCAGAGCUGGUGGCAGCUGCUGGGCUCGGCAGGGAUGAGCUUUUGGGGUGUCUGACAGCAGAUGUCCCCAGUGGCCGUGUUUGCUUUCUGCCCUCCUUCCACCGGGGGUGACCUCGUUGUGGUGCCCAGAGGAGAGCUGGAGAGGGAUCUGGGACCAGGGAUGGAGUGACAGGACACGAGGGAUGGCUUCACUCCGCCAGAGGGAGGAUUAGAUGGGAAACUGGGGAGGAAUUCUUCCCUGUGAGGGUGGCACGGCCCUGGCACAGGGUGCCCAGAGGAACUCGAUGCUCCAGCACUGGCAGCAUUUUGGCCAGGUUGGAUGGGGCUUGGAGCAAGCUGGGAUGGUGGAAGGUGGCCCUGGAUCAUCUUUAAGGUUCCUUCCAACCCAAACCAUUCCGCGAUUCUGGGAGGGCAACAAAUAUCACAGAAACUCGGAACAAACAUGAAUAUUCAGGCUGUGUUAGGUUCCCGUGGGGCACCCGGCACAAGGGCAGAACGAGCAGCGAUUUCCCAAAACAAAAGCAGGAUUUUUUUUCGCUGUGGAUUAAUUGUGGGGGCCGGCGGAGGAGAGAGGCACCGCCCGGUUCUAUGGUGUAAUGGUCAGCACUCUGGACUUUGAAUCCAGCGAUCCGAGUUCAAAUCUCGGUAGAACCUCCCCAGGUCUCAGUUUUUGUGCCUCAGAGCCCAGCAGGGACAGACCGGAUCGCGCUGGAGCUCCAGCCCUGCUGUCCCCGACCCAGCUCUCACUCUUCUCCAUUUUCUUCAAUGCAACGAAAUUAAUUACACAAGACUUCAUAUCAUUCUUGCUACUUUUUAAUUAGGUGUUUAGUUGUAUUUCACUGCUGUUUUACAUUAAGUACUUUUGGGGGGAGGCACACUGUGGAAAAUUACAUCAGGCAGAUGUGCAGAAUUUGGAUGUUAUUUUUCAGAUGCACCCAACUGCUCACUUGGAAAAUAAGGGCAGAAACGCAGUGUUUUGGGAUAAACUGCACAAUUUAAAUGGAUAUUCCCUCUGCUUCGCUGCCACAAACCCUCAGUAGCUACUUUCAUUUCCAGAGCAGCUAAGGACAUCUUACACCUUGGCUCCCCUCCUCCAAUCCUGUCCUAGUCACUUGUUGACACAGCAACAGGAACAAGCCUGCUCUGAUCAACAGCUCCUCCUCUGGCCAGGUAACCUUUGAAAAAACACACAGAACACCUUCAAAUCAAAUUGUUAUUUAGCAAAAAUCCAGAUCCCAACUGCUCAAGGGAACAUAUGGAAAUGUUUGCUCAAUUCAUUAAAUUUUCACACAACCUAGUGAUGAAGAAAAUCAAUGUAUUAACUGACAAUUCUAGAGAGUAAAUUACCAUUCCUACAGCAAUCUGCAACCUCCUCCUUCCAUUUGGCAGAGUUUGGGGUGCAGCUGUAAUCCAAAAGCCCCAUCAAGUGCUGACACAGUACUGGUGCCACAGAUGGGCCCAGGCAAAUCCAGGUGUACCUAAAGGGUUAAACUUCUACAUCAUGGAAUGACACAGAAGCAGUGCAGAAUUGAGUACUGAGAUUUAUUCACAAUUCAUGGCCACGCUGCACUGGAAAACAAAGCACCAAAAUCUGGGUAACUGAACACCAUCCAGCUAUAAUCCUGCAUUUGGAUAUCUGCACUCCUCUGGGGGACAGCAAUAGAAAUUAUUAUGGAAUCAGGGAAUCCAAUGAAGGAAUUAAAUAGUGCUGUAAUUUCAGAAGUGUGGCUACAAACACAUAUUGUCAACAUUAAUGGACUUUCCAACUGCAGAUUCAAAAGCCAGAAUCAAACCUUAGGCAAGUAUUUCACUAUAUAUGAAGCUGCAACAAGGUUUUCUGAUAUAUGUUAAAAUUUCAAUGAAAGCAGGGUAAAGGGGGAAAGAUAAAAAGGAAAGAAAAGUUCUAUCCUGUAAAACUGGCACUUUAAAGAAAAGGCCUUUAAAAAAACUAAAAUAUUUUACUCCAAAAGUCUUAAAAAACAAAAGCUGACCCAAAGAAAAGAAACCCAAAAAGACAACUCUCAGUUACUCAGGUCACUAAUGAUAAUACAUUCUGUGUAGCCACUUGUCAUGGUUUUGCACAGGAGACAUUCAGGGAAGUGAUGGAAAUGUUUGUUAUGCAAAACCAUAACACCACUACAAGCUCAGUAAGAUCCUUCCUUUAAAUUCCUUUAAAAAAGAAUUCUGCAGCAGACAAAUCAACAGCUCUGCACUGUGACUGCCUCAAUUGGUUAAAACACUUGACCAGAUGGAAGAAAUGGAUCCAGCUGAAGCAGGUUAUUUGGACACUGAGCCAGCCAUUCCCCUUGCAGUGGGAGCAGAACAGAUGAUUCCACCCAGUGCCCAGCCCAUUCCUGGCUCCCCAGCAGCACAGGCAGUGAGGCAGGCACUGGCCAAAGUGCCACCAGCCUGGGAGCAUCCAUCACCUUGCACACACAGCCCAGGACUCUGCUUUCACAACAGCAAGGCAGCUCCUGGGCAGGUUACUGCAGACUUCCUCAGAAAAGCAAACUGGUUUUGUACCAUUUCACACAUAAAAAAAUGAGCACACUGUACAAAGAGCAGCAGAGAUAUAAUUUAAACAUGCAUCCAGCUACAAACCAUAUAUACAGAGAAACAGGCCUAUACAAACAGAACAGGACCACUUUAUUACAUGACAGUUCUGGUGGAGCUCUUGGAGGAAAUCACAGAUGAACAAACGAGACCGAAGGAGGUGGAUGUUGCUCCUGGAAGUAAUCUGGUUUGAAAUGUCACACCACACCCCCACCUUUCCCCAGCACACAUCUAUCACAGUUCCAGCACACACAGCUCUUCCCACCACUCUGGACUCCCUCCCUGUACAGAGGUAGAUUUCUGUCGAUGUUCUGAUAUUGCACCAUGGCAAGUAUGGUUCUUAUCACAAGGAACACCCUGCAAAGGCUAAUUCAUGUAAUUCAUGGGCAUAAUCUCAUUGUGGGCAUUCAGGUAGUGCAGUAAAUCAAAUUCAUUCAGAAAA